UACGGGGGGGGCAAGCGUUGUUCGGAAUUACUGGGCGUAAAGGGCUCGUAGGCGGCCAACUAAGUCAGACGUGAAAUCCCUAGGCUCAACCUAGGAACUGCGUCUGAUACUGGAUGGCUUGAAUCCGGGAGAGGGAUGCAGAAUUCCAGGUGUAGCGGUGAAAUGCAUAGAUACCAUCAAGAACACCGAUUGCGAAGGCAGCUUACUAGGCUGUAACUGACGCUGAGGCACGAAAGCGUGGGGAGCGAACAGG
rnacentral:rRNA from 1 species